AUACCUUUCUCGGCCUUUUGGCUAAGAUCAAGUGUAGUAUCUGUUCUUAUCAGUUUAAUAUCUGAUAUAUGGGCUAUGUGCCCACUUCGAUAUUAAAUUUAUUUUUUGUGGGGGAGGGUCCACUACAGUGGCUUGCCGCUGGGGCCCUCACGCGUCGCCCAGGUGUUGCACUGCUGCCCGGGCCUGGCGCACCCCAA
rfam:Oryza sativa Japonica Group DNA, chromosome 2, cultivar: Nipponbare, complete sequence.